rnacentral:rRNA from 1 species
UACGUAGGGUGCAAGCGUUGUCCGGAAUUAUUGGGCGUAAAGAGCUCGUAGGCGGUUUGUCGCGUCUGCUGUGAAAACUCGGGGCUUAACCCCGGGCCUGCAGUGGGUACGGGCAGACUAGAGUGCGGUAGGGGGAGACUGGAAUUCCUGGUGUAGCGGUGAAAUGCGCAGAUAUCAGGAAGAACACCGGUGGCGAAGGCGGUCUGCUGGGCAGUAGCUGACACUGAGGCACGAAGGCCAGGGGAGCAAACGGG